rnacentral:rRNA from 1 species
GAUGAACGCUGGCGGCGUGCCUAAUACAUGCAAGUCGAGCGAACGGACGAGAAGCUUGCUUCUCUGAUGUUAGCGGCGGACGGGUGAGUCACACGUGGAUAACCUACCUAUAAGACUGGGAUAACUUCGGGAAACAGUAGCUAAUACCGGAUAAUAUUUUGCACCUCAUGGUUCAAAAGUGAAAGACGCUCUUGCUGUCACUAAUAGAUGGAUACGCGGUGCAUUAGCUAGUGGGUAAGGUAAAGGCUUACCAACGCAACGAUGCAUAGCCGACCUGAGCGGGUGAUCGGCCACACUGGAAGUGAGACACGUUCCAGACUCCUACGGGAGGCAGCAGUAGGGAAUCUUACGCAAUGGGCGAAAGCCUGACGGAGCAACGCCGCGUGAGUGAUGAAGGUCUUCGGACCGUAAAACUCUGUUAGUAGGGAAGAACAUAUGUGUAAGUAACUGUGAACAUCUUGACGGUACCUAAUCAGAAAGCCACGGCUAACUACGUG